rnacentral:lncRNA from 1 species
UCAUCUUUUAAUUAAAAAUGCAUCCAAUAACCCAAUUCUCAAAUUUUCAAAUUAUAUUUCUAUCUCACACUUUGAAAAUUACUCAUAUCAAUACCAACAAUUUUCAACUCAAUCAAAUAAUCCUAAUAUGCCUUAUGGGGUUCAAUUGGAUAGUAGUGGUGUACAAUUAAAUGAUCAAGAGCUUGCAACAUCAUAAUUUUGCACUCAAAGUGACUUAGAAACUAGUAUUAUCCUGGUGAAGAAGUCAGAACUACAUCGGUUAUGAAUAUGUCGAAAAUAAAAUUUCAAUAAAAAAAAGAUAAACUUCUCAUUUAAUCAUGACUCAAUAUUUUAAAGGAUCAAUUGUAAGGAUUGAUAAAAAAAGAAGAUAGUUUUUGAAAGAGAAUUGAUUAAAAUUAUAACAACCACUCUCUCAAAAAAAAAAUUAUAACGACCAUCGCCUCAAGAAUAUAUAUAUAUAUAUAUUUCUUAUAACUUACUUGUGUCGUGUAGUUUUCUUAUAAUGAGGAUACACUAUUUUAGCCAGCAAACCUUCAGCAACUAUAGAGUAUAGACAUCGUAAAUGGUCUACACAUAUAGGAAUAUGCUUCAUAUAUUCAUAGCCACGACAUUCCUACUUCAUUGGUUCCUUGUUUGGCCAACAUUCUGGUUCCUAUUAUCUUCUAACCAAUGGUGAGUUUAUGCAUUAAUAGAAUAAGCUAAUAACAAAAGGUUUGCUUCAAUUUGUAUACAAAAAGUUCCACUUAAC